AGUGAACGCUGGCGGCAGGCCUAACACAUGCAAGUCGAACGGCAGCACAGUAAGAGCUUGCUCUUACGGGUGGCGGGUGGCGGACGGGUGAGGAAUGCAUCGGAAUCUACUUUUUCGUGGGGGAUAACGUAGGGAAACUUCCGCUAAUACCGCAUACUACCUACGGGAGAAAGCAGGGGAUCUUCGGACCUUGCGCGUUUGAAUGAGCCGAUGUCGGAUUAGCUAGUUGGCGGGGUAAAGGCCCACCAAGGCGACGAUCCGUAGCUGGUCUGAGAGGAUGAUCAGCCACACUGGAACUGAGACACGGUCCAGACUCCUACGGGAGGCAGCAGUGGGGAAUAUUGGACAAUGGGCGCAAGCCUGAUCCAGCAAUACCGCGUGGGUGAAGAAGGCCUUCGGGUUGUAAAGCCCUUUUGUUGGGAAAGAAAAGCUGCAGGUUAAUACCCGGCUGUUCUGACGGUACCCAAAGAAUAAGCACCGGCUAACUACGUG
rnacentral:rRNA from 1 species